CCACGUGUAUCCCCAUACUGGUGCAGUAUCCUGCACCGCUACGGCACUUUUGUGCCGUAUCCCUGCAACGUAGUUCAUUAAGGUGAUAUGGUAAAGAUAGCUUACAUCACAAGAUCUAAGCAGUGCACCGUACUUGCAUGUUGUGUCCAAUAAUAUAGUAGGUUAGCAUAUAUGUUUUAUCUACCACUGAUAUAAAUCUCUUUUGCUGAAGAUAAUCACGCCAUGCAAUCCUGGGCACUUCUAUCAAAAUUCAGCCAUUCAUGUAAACGGAAAGAGAGAAACGUGAUGUCUUUCCCCAAAAUAGUAGUAUUAUAUGAAGAGAAGCAUAAGUGCAUAACUGACAAUGUACAAUGGUUUGCUAACUACUAUGAUGAGUUGUUUGGAGCGCUGCAUCAUCUCCUGAACAUUAUAAUUCUGUUAAUUCAGUAUGUACAGAAGGCAAGAGCUUCAGAGAUGUGGUCAACUGAUCACCCCCCUGCGUUCCCCUGUCUGACAGGUCGCUGUGGACGACGAUGCUAAUUUUUGGGGACACAAACAUCAGGAAGGACGACAUGAGGCUGCGUAUCUUCUCAGGAACGGCCAAUUCUUCGCUAGCCCAGGAAAUAGAAAGCUACAUGGGUCUAGAACUUGGGGAGAUUAACAUAAAAAGGUUUGGUGAUGGUGUCAUGACCUCCAGCCUCGUGGAGCUACUCAUCAUGAUUGAUGCGUGUAGAAGAGCAUCUGCUAAAAACAUUCACAUAUGCGGAAAGAGUCUCAAGGUCGUGAAUCUAUAGUUGCAAAACUUGUAGCUAAUAUGAUUACAGAAGCUGGUGCAAACCAUGUCCUUGUUUGUGAUCUUCAUUCAAGUCAGGCCACGGGAUAUUUUGACAUCCCAGUAGAUCAUGUUUAUGGCCAGCCGGUGAUUCUUGAUUACAUCACCAGCAAGACAAUUUGUUCGAAUGACUUGGUGGUGGUAUCGUCUGAUGUUGGAGGCAUUGCCAGAGCAUGCACAUUUGCCAAAAAGCAGAUGCACCUCUAAUAAUUGUAGACAAAAGAAGGCAUGGACACAACGUUGCCGAGG